rnacentral:tRNA from 1 species
GGUGGCUCAGUGGUAGAGUGCUUGCCUCGCAUGCAUGAGGCUCUGAGUUUGAUUCCUCAGCACCA